rnacentral:rRNA from 1 species
UACAGAGGGGGCGAGCGUUGUUCGGAAUUACUGGGCGUAAAGGGCGCGUAGGCGGUGUGUUAAGUCAGGCGUGAAAGCCCCGGGCUCAACCUGGGAACCGCGCUUGAGACUGGCACGCUCGAGUUCGGGAGAGGAUGGUGGAAUUCCCAGUGUAGAGGUGAAAUUCGUAGAUAUUGGGAAGAACACCGAUGGCGAAGGCAGCAAUCUGGACCGACACUGACGCUGAGGCGCGAAAGCGUGGGGAGCAAACAGG